rnacentral:snoRNA from 1 species
UGCCAGUGAUGUGAGAAAAUAUUUGCUACUCUUGAUGGCUUUACGAAUCCACAUGAUGAUUCCUAUCCACCAAGAUCUCUGAGGCA